GACGAACGCUGGCGGCGUGCCUAAUACAUGCAAGUAGAACGCUGAAGGAGGAGCUUGCUUCUCUGGAUGAGUUGCGAACGGGUGAGUAACGCGUAGGUAACCUGCCUGGUAGCGGGGGAUAACUAUUGGAAACGAUAGCUAAUACCGCAUAAUAUUGAUUAUUGCAUGAUAGUAAUUAAAAGGUGCAAUUGCACCACUACCAGAUGGACCUGCGUUGUAUUAGCUAGUUGGUGGGGUAACGGCUCACCAAGGCGACGAUACAUAGCCGACCUGAGAGGGUGAUCGGCCACACUGGGACUGAGACACGGCCCAGACUCCUACGGGAGGCAGCAGUAGGGAAUCUUCGGCAAUGGACGGAAGUCUGACCGAGCAACGCCGCGUGAGUGAAGAAGGUUUUCGGAUCGUAAAGCUCUGUUGUAAGAGAAGAACGAGUGUGAUGAGUGGAAAGUUCACA
rnacentral:rRNA from 1 species